AUAUCAAUAAGCGGAGGAAAAGAAACCAACAGGGAUUGCCCUAGUAACGGCGAGUGAAGCGGCAACAGCUCAAAUUUGAAAUCUGGCUCCUUUGGUGCCCGGGUUGUAAUUUGCAGAGGGUGCUUUGGUGUUGGCUGUGGUCCAAGUUCCCUGGAGCAGGACGUCACAGAGGGUGAGAACCCCGUACGUGGCCGCCAGUCUUCGCCGUGUAAAGCCCCUUCGACGAGUCGAGUUGUUUGGGAAUGCAGCUCUAAAUGGGAGGUAAAUUCCUUCUAAAGCUAAAUAUUGGCCAGAGACCGAUAGCGCACAAGUA
rnacentral:rRNA from 1 species